CUUCGAGGUCCAACCUCAGUGAUUCCAUGACACUGAGCUCCAGAGGCGCUUCUGUGCUGAGCACACAGCAUAGGCCCACGCUGAGAGCAUCGCCAACAGCCCUGAUAGCAUUGUGGGAUGCCUCAGGGGGACCGCUGGGCUGGGGGAGACAAGUGAGGGCAAGGAACUGCCCCAGAAGCCUGCCUAGGGCAUGAAAGGCGAAGGGCUGAAGCCUGAUGUAACUGAUGGUAUCUUUUGAGUGAGAGUACUGAAGCAUUUCAGUCACAGCCCCAGCUGGGUUACUCACCUGAGGGGAAUGCAUGCAGCCCUCAGCCCGGGGUGCUCACCGGUGUCCGAAAGCAUUCUUCCCUACUGCACGGUCUCACCACAAUGUGCUGAAAGCAAGAAAUACAGCCACGCUUCGUGCAGCACCACUACUGCAGUCUGUGUUAGAAUAAAGACUUGAGAAUUAGGGGCAAAUGCCUCCGUUCCCUUCAGAGGCUCCAUUGAAGCAAUUCCUUCACCCUGAACGUGUUUUAUUGCUGGCUCGCUCCCUCAAAAAACAAACCCUCUAAAAUCUAGAGUCAAUAUCCAGUCCUUUUGGUGCAAUUCUGUUUCUAGGAAGGCUGAAUUUGUGGUUACUAUUAAUUAGCGAUUCAGCUGCAGUUCUCUCCUACACAAACCACUUGUCUUAGCCCACAAUAGUCUGCUGUCUGAUCCAAAACCUGUCCUUACAAGACGCUGUUUAACGUGUUGAGCAAUUGUUUCUCUAAAUCAGUUCUCUAUGGUGGUAUUUGGCCAGUUGCGCUCGUGUAAGCAAGGUUAACGAGUUAAUCUAGUAAUUAGAUAGACCCUCUGUAAUUAGAUAGACUUAUCUGAUUGAUAUUGCCUGCCAUUACGCCUGCAACAUCCUUUUCCUGCUCUGAAAGCCUGAGAUACAAUCCUGCCGGCAUAGCAGGGUGAGGAAUGUACGCCCACUCCGACUCCUCUUUGUUCAUAACACUUCUCCAUUUCAGGUCUGGGAAAUCUGAUUAGCUGCCACUACUGCAGUUCACCGGAUAGCCACGUGGCCAGAAAAGCUUUGUGAAGGCUCUGGAAUGUAUUGAUGAAGGGAAGGCAUUAUCAGUGCACGAUUUAACAUCCAAAUCAGUCGCAGGAGAUUAGAAUGUUCUUAAAUGUUCCUAUUGUUUGCAUUCCUGUUACAUCUUCUGCUAUGGAAGCUCCAGCGGGGCAUCACCAGAAGGAACAUAACUUAAUAAAGGAGUGGGUGAAAAGCUGAAGGAAUGCAGUGAGGGGUGCUGAGAUUUGAACCCAAGGGACAAAGGCUGCAAGUGCAGACUGAUGUUUUCAGAGAAUAAGGAAUGAGGCGUGCUAGACAGGGAGGGAAGCUGCGCCUUACAGAGGUCAUGCAAGGCCAGUCACUGCCCAGCACGUGAAUGUGUUUUUCUGGCCUUCCUUCCUUCCCAUUAUGAAUUCUGGUCAUUCUGGUUACACAACUCAAAGCCUGGACAUUUUUCCUGUUUUGGGGCAAUGUGCCCAUGGAAAUGAGAGCUAUCGGCAGCCAAUCCUUCAUUAUUAAUAUCAGCUAAAGCAAAGUGCAAUUGCCUGGGAGCAGUAUGGGGCUGAGUGUACACGCACAGAAUGCCUCCUGGCCUCGCAGUGAGUGGGUGCAGGCAGGGCUGUGGCAUCCAGCAGGCAGGAACUCGCCCUGCUGUCUUCUGUUUGCAUCCCAAGGAGCGCUGGUGAAGGUGAAGCUGUCAUUGCUUUGUGCUGUCCAGCUGGUCUCAUCUUCACAGCUUUUGUACUGAGAUUGAUCCCGAUUGAGCCAGGAAUGCCUUCAUUCAAGUUCUUGCUGCUAAGCGCUAAGCACAUUAAAUGUUCCAGAAGGGGUAAGAUUUUGGGUUCAGAUAUAAUGAAGUUCUUCCAGAGUAAUUCCCUAAUAAAUCAGUUACGUCUGACUCAGUGGAAUUUUAUGUACCCCUGGCUAAAUUGAAAUAUAUGCCUGCUGAAACAUCUG
ensembl:lncRNA